CUGGGAUGUCAGUUUGGGUAAGUGGCAUGGAAAUGUCUACCGCGGAGGGUGAAAGUCCCGUCCAGCCCAUUCAGGACAUUUCGCACGAAGUUGCUCAUAUGAGUCGCGUAGCUUGUGAAUGCUGCGCUAAGUCGGUGGUAAAUCUCAUCGAAGGCUAAAUACUGGUAGGAGACCGAUAGUGAACAAGUACCGUGAGGGAAAGAUCAAAAGCACUUUGAAAAGAGGGUGAAAAGAACCUGAAACCGUUACGACAGAAGCGUAUUGCGUUGAAUUGAGGGCUGUUUAACUCUUCAGCUGAACGUGAGUUUAGUGUACUGAGUUAAGUAGUUAUCCGUCGUGCCUUUUCUGUGGCUGAUAUUGAGCCGCGGGAGAGGGAGGGAUCCCCUUUAUGGGUGAGGACGAUGGAGUGGCAACGCGAUGCGACCCGUCUUGAAACACGGACCAAGGAGUCUAACAUGUUUGCGAGUUGAAGGGUAGUAAACCUGGAGGCGCAGUGAAAGCGAACUUCUAAAACGGACAGUUUGUGGCGGCAUAAAAUCGUUGAUUUUAGGUCUGACUAAGAGCAAAUAUGUUAGGACCCGAAAGAUGGUGAACUAUGCUUGAGUAGGCCGAAGGCAGAAGAAAUUCUGCUGGAGGGCCGAAGCGGUGCUGACGUGCAAAUCGCUCGUCGAACUCGAGUAUAGGGGCGAAAGACUAAUCGAACCAUCUAGUAGCUG
rnacentral:rRNA from 1 species